rnacentral:rRNA from 1 species
GACCUGCGGAGGGAUCAUUACCGAGUUUACAACUCCCAAACCCCUGUGAACAUACCUAUACGUUGCCUCGGCGGAUCAGCCCGCGCCCCGUAAAACGGGACGGCCCGCCCGAGGACCCCUAAACUCUGUUUUUAGUGGAACUUCUGAGUAAAACAAACAAAUAAAUCAAAACUUUCAACAACGGAUCUCUUGGUUCUGGCAUCGAUGAAGAACGCAGCAAAAUGCGAUAAGUAAUGUGAAUUGCAGAAUUCAGUGAAUCAUCGAAUCUUUGAACGCACAUUGCGCCCGCCAGUAUUCUGGCGGGCAUGCCUGUUCGAGCGUCAUUUCAACCCUCAAGCUCAGCUUGGUGUUGGGACUCGCGGUAACCCGCGUUCCCCAAAUCGAUUGGCGGUCACGUCGAGCUUCCAUAGCGUAGUAAUCAUACACCUCGUUACUGGUAAUCGUCGCGGCCACGCCGUUAAACCCCAACUUCUGAAUGUUGACCUCGGAUCAGGUAGGAAUACCCGCUGAACUUAAGCAUAUCAAUAGCGGAGGA